rnacentral:lncRNA from 1 species
ACUUAAUCUCUAGUUGUUAUAUUACCUAUGUUCCAUGACAAGAGGUACCAGUUUCGACAGUUAUUCAUCAAAUGAAAUUUCUAUGUAGUUAUCACAAACAAAAAUCUCUACUUUCUAGUUAGCCUCUCCAGAUUAUCUCUUAAUUUUUGCACUUGUGCGUAGUGUUUCCUCUUAGUGCAACCUACUGUAAUGGCAAUUUGUGAGAGUAAACAGCAAAUAUUUCUCAAAGGUUAGCUGCAAAUAAACAUUAGCAUUCCACGUACUUAUACAUUGAAUGUAGUGCUCACAGGUAUUACUAGGAUACUUCGAAAAUUGUCUUAUAAUAUUAGCUCCUUCAAAAGAUAUGGAUGUCCAUGAAUAGUUGAAAAUGUGCAUUUCAUAGUCAUGGUAUUUUACGAAGUGGACUUGUCUCAAAGGCACUCAAUGUAACACAUGUAACUUUUUUAGUUCUGUUCUUUCACUGCCUUUAGAAUUUUGUAUAAAAUGCAGACAUUUGAUGUACGAUCUCUCAUAUUACGUAAAAAGUAUGAGUUAUCAAACAGGAUGUAUGGAACUUAUGCGAUACAUACUUGUAACUGCAUAUCCCAUAAAACCCGAAAUAGAUUUUUUUUCAGAUA